rnacentral:lncRNA from 1 species
GGUAAGAAUGAUCUGAGAAAGUGGUGAAAGUGGCAAUGUGUUUUGUGAUCUGACCUCAGAAAUGACGUAUUGUCAUCUUCUAUUUGGUAGAGGAGAGCUGUUAUGUCUAGCUCACGCUCAAGGAAAUGACUUACUGCAAAGAACCACUCUUCCCCACGAGACUUCGAGAAGACCCGCUGUCACGGACUGAGUUGUGUCCUCUUAAAAUUCAGAUGUUGGAGUCCAAACCCCCAGUAACUCAGAGUGUGAACGUAUUUGAAGAGGUCUUUAAAGAGGUGAUGAAGGGAGAGAGACCCCAUGAGCUCGUCAAGCUCCUUCUGUGACUGAUCAGAGAUCCCACCGUGAGUCCAGCUCCUGGUCCCAUGCUCUGGAUAUAUCGGUCCCUGGCAGCGUGGCUCCAUCUCCGUAGCCUGCUUUUGACAAAAGUGGAUACAUAAAUCUAGGGGCCACCUAGCUAGUUCUAAUAAGACUUUGGAAGUCAAAAGCUAAAGAAGACCAGGGGACCAAGCUGGAAAUCAGGCUCUGCAAUCAGAUUCCAGAGGGAAUGCCAUUCCACCCAAUCACCUAGCCACAACGGUUCCCUUCCUUCAAGAUGCUGCAUGCCUCUUCAGGCGAAUGGAUUACCUUGUAAGAGUGACCUGAAAAAGCGUUAGCCCAGCCACACCGAGGCUUAACUGAGCCAUUUGAUUCUCACUGCCUCUCUCUGUUGCUUCCUCUUGCUUUCAACUACAGGGUCUUUCUGUUUAGGUGGUGAAAAAAAUGAUCGUUAAAAACAAUAAACCUGGGGACCUCUGAUACCAUGAGCCCAGCCAGAGAUCUGUGUCAAGCAAAUCCUUGCAGACAGUUCUGCCAGCCUGCAGAUGGCUGUUUGCCUCUCGUGGAUUUGAUAAGUGCUCAUUUAUGCCCAGAGGCCUCUGGGAGAUAGUGCUCAUGCUGAGCUUACAAACUGAAAACCAUUAUCUGUUCCUUACCUGAGACCCUGGGGAGCAGUCAGCUCACUCCCUGCCGAUGGCCUAAGAUAGGUACUGAUGUUACAGUUGAGGAAUAUCUAGGAGUAACAAACUUAAGUAGCUGGAAUAUGCCAAUUUUGACAAUUUGACAACAUCAUUAUAAACAUUCUGAAGUACUUACAA